rnacentral:rRNA from 1 species
ACGAACGCUGGCGGCGUGCUUCACACAUGCAAGUCGAACGCUGAAGCUCAGCUUGCUGGGUGGAUGAGUGGCGAACGGGUGAGUAACACGUGAGUAACCUGCCCUCUUCUUUGGGAUAACGCCCGGAAACGGGUGCUAAUACUGGAUAUUCACUGAUUCUCGCAUGGGGGUUGGUGGAAAGGUUUUUUCUGGUGGGGGAUGGGCUCGCGGCCUAUCAGCUUGUUGGUGGGGUGAUGGCCUACCAAGGCUUUGACGGGUAGCCGGCCUGAGAGGGUGACCGGUCACAUUGGGACUGAGAUACGGCCCAGACUCCUACGGGAGGCAGCAGUGGGGAAUAUUGCACAAUGGGCGAAAGCCUGAUGCAGCGACGCCGCGUGAGGGAUGGAGGCCUUCGGGUUGUAAACCUCUUUCGCUCAUGGUCAAGCCGCAGCUUUGGGUUGUGGUGAGGGUAGUGGGUAAAGAAGCGCCGGCUAACUACGUG